CCUACGUGCGGCAGCAGUGAGGAAUAUUGGUCAAUGGACGAGAGUCUGAACCAGCCAAGUAGCGUGAAGGAUGACUGCCCUAUGGGUUGUAAACUUCUUUUAUAGAGGAAUAAAACGAGGCACGUGUGCCUUUUUGCAUGUACUUUAUGAAUAAGGAUCGGCUAACUCCGUGCCAGCAGACGCGGUAAUACGGAGGAUCCGAGCGUUAUCCGGAUUUAUUGGGUUUAAAGGGAGCCGAGAGUGGUUGUUAAAGCAGUUGUGAAAGUUUUGGGCUCAACCGUAAAAUUGCAAUUGAUACUGGCAGUCUUGAGUACAGUUGAGGUAGGCGGAAUUCGUGGUGUAGCGGUGAAAUGCUUAGAUAUCACGAAGAACCCCGAUUGCGAAGGCAGCUUAC
rnacentral:rRNA from 1 species